rnacentral:tRNA from 2 species
GACCGAAUGGCAGAAUGGUUAUGUAGAGGACUGCAAACCCUCCUAUGGUGGUUCAAUUCCACCUUCGGUCU